GCUGGGCGUGGUGGUGCAUGCCUGUAAUCCCAGCUACUCGGGAGGCUGAGGCAGGGGAAUCGCUUGAACCCAGGAGGUGGAGAUUGCAGUGAGCUGAGAUUGAGCUACUGCACUCCAGCCUGGGUGACAGAGCAAGACUCCACCUCAA
rnacentral:SRP_RNA from 1 species